rnacentral:rRNA from 1 species
CCCUUAGAUGUUCUGGGCUGCACGCGUGCUACACUGAUAUUGCCAAUAUGUCAUUCUUAUCCGAAAUGGAUUGGGUAAUCAAGCAAUGAAAUUUCAUGCUUGGAAUCGGUAAUUGCAAUUUUAUCGUGAACGAGGAAUUCCUAGUAAGCACUAGUCAUCAGCUAAUGUUGAUUAUGUCCCUGCCCUUUGUACACACCGCCCGUCGCUACUACUGAUUGGGUGUUCAAGUGAGAUGCUUAGACCCUUGUUGCAUGGUUCAUUAUUGUGCUCCGAAAGGAAAAAGUUUCAAGCUUGAGUGUCUAGAGGAAGUAAAAGUCGUAACA